GCGGCGGGUGUUUUCCCUGUACCCCCGCGCCGCCCUCCUAAGAAAGAUAAUUGGCCGCUGGGUGGGGCCCGGCACCGCCUCGCGCCUGGUGUGGUCGCACGUGCUGGGGCGGAAGCCGAGAUCACAGCUAUGGCGUCGUUACUUUGGGGAGGCGACGCCGGGGCUGCGGAGAGCGAGCGGCUGAACCGCCACUUUUCAAACCUCAUCCACCCCCCGAAGAACCUUCGGGGUAUUAAGAAUACUACUGUCCCAAACAUAGAUGGUUCUGUUAAUAACACUGAAGAAGAUGAUGAAGAAGAAGUAGUGGAUUUGGCAGCUAAUUCACUCUUAAACAAGUUAAUCCGGCAGUCCUUAGUAGAAUCCAGUCACCGAGUUGAAGUCUUACAAAAGGAUCCCAGCUCUCCACUCUACUCAGUGAAAACAUUUGAAGAGCUGCGGCUAAAGGAAGAGUUACUAAAAGGGAUCUAUGCAAUGGGAUUUAACAGACCAUCCAAAAUUCAAGAGAUGGCGCUCCCUAUGAUGCUGGCACACCCACCACAGAACCUCAUAGCCCAGAGCCAGUCUGGAACAGGAAAGACAGCUGCUUUUGUCUUGGCAAUGCUAAGCAGAGUUAAUGCCUUGGAAUUGUUUCCACAGUGCCUCUGCCUGGCUCCUACUUAUGAAUUGGCUCUGCAAACUGGCCGUGUGGUGGAACGGAUGGGGAGAUUCUGUGUGGAUGUUCAAGUGAUGUACGCCAUUCGAGGAAAUCGAAUUCCCAGAGGCACUGACAUCACCAAACAGAUUAUAAUUGGCACUCCUGGGACUGUCCUAGAUUGGUGUUUCAAGCGAAAAUUAAUUGAUUUGGCUAAGAUUCGUGUGUUUGUCCUGGAUGAAGCAGAUGUGAUGAUCGACACACAAGGAUUCUCAGACCAAAGCAUUCGUAUUCAAAGAGCUUUACCCUCUGGGUGCCAGAUGCUCCUCUUUUCAGCGACCUUUGAAGACUCUGUGUGGCAGUUUGCUGAGCGAAUCAUUCCUGACCCUAAUGUGAUCAAGUUACGAAAAGAGGAGCUGACCCUGAACAACAUCCGACAGUAUUAUGUAUUGUGUGGGAAUAGGAAAGACAAGUAUCAAGCUCUGUGCAACAUCUAUGGAGGCAUCACCAUUGGCCAGGCCAUCAUCUUCUGCCAGACUCGUCGAAAUGCCAAAUGGUUGACUGUGGAGAUGAUGCAGGAUGGCCACCAAGUGUCUUUGUUAAGCGGAGAGCUGACUGUGGAUCAGCGAGCUGCCAUCAUUCAGAGGUUUCGGGAUGGAAAGGAGAAAGUUCUUAUAACGACCAACGUCUGUGCUAGAGGGAUUGAUGUGAAGCAGGUCACAAUUGUUGUGAACUUUGACCUCCCUGUGAACCAAGCAGAGGAGCCAGACUAUGAGACCUACCUCCACCGCAUCGGGCGGACAGGCCGCUUUGGGAAAAAAGGCCUUGCCUUCAACAUGAUUGAGGUGGAUAAGCUGCCUCUGCUGAUGAAGAUCCAGGACCACUUCAACAGCAAUAUUAAGCAACUUGAUCCUGAAGACAUGGAUGAAAUUGAAAAGAUUGAAUAUUGAAGACAGAACUUUAUCCUUUAAAAGUAUUCUGGUUUAUGUGAGAAUGUCCCAGUAGGUUUUGAAGGUCAACACCUUUGUGAGGGCCACUGGGAUAUUUGGGGAUUUAGUUUAUAGCAUCUGAGCAGAUCCUGCCUCUUGUGAGCAUCUCACAGCACCACGAGAUGGCAGUAGAAUGUCACUGUUUUUGGAACUUGAGUUGGUCCAGCAAGUGAAAAGCAAAACAUCUUCAGACUCUCAGACUGCCCCUUCCAGUUUCAGUGUCUUCCCUGCCCCUCCCCACC